CCCUUAGAUGUCCUGGGCCGCACGCGCGCUACACUGACAUGUUCAACAAGCCUCCUAGUUCGACAGGAUUUGGGAAAUCUUUGAACGCAUGUCGUGAUAGGGAUAGAUCAUUGCAAUUAUUGAUCUUGAACGAGGAAUUCCUAGUAAACGCGAGUCAUCAGCUCGCAUUGAUUACGUCCCUGCCCUUUGUACACACCGCCCGUCGCACCUACCGAUUGAAUGUUUCGGUGAAGAUUCCGGAUAGGACUUUUUUGAUUUAUUUCAAUUUUGUCGUAAAAGCUAUCUAAACCUCAACAUUUAGAGGAAGGUGAAGUCGUAACA
rnacentral:rRNA from 1 species